GUCUAUGGAGGCUGAACAGGCAUGCAGCUGAGAAAAAUAUCUUUUCCUGGAUAUUUCGCCCCACUUUGCUUCCAGUUUAGCUUCAGUCACUUUGAGAAGUGGAAGAGCUGGAAACACUGGGAGGAUUCAGGAGCGAAGCGGAGACAGAGAGAGGACUUCCCGCAGAGAGAGAGGACUGCUGCGGGGAGAACUCAGCUGAUAACUGCUCUGUGUGGAUGAGCUGCAAACAAAGCAAGAGGUUUGCAUGUGAAGCAUCAGAGUUUGGACUCUAGUGGGGAGGAAAGAUGAGGAAAAGCAGAAGUGUUCUUACAGUGUCUCCCCACAAUGACAGCAAAGAGCAGAGGGACUGCUGCCUCAGUGAAUCCUUCACUUCUCCUUCCUGCACUCUCGGCGUUGACCUGCGUCGGGGCAGACGGCGAUUUUCGGGUAACUUGCAGCUGCCCCCCUUGUCCUGGCGUCAGGGAGAGAGAUCCAGAACACCGGACGAUGAGAUCAUGACCAGGCCAACAUCUCUGCCUUUCGGGGCUCCUCCCAGAAUAGAUAUCACACCUGUGGACCC